rnacentral:rRNA from 1 species
GAUGAACGCUGGCGGCGUGCCUAAUACAUGCAAGUCGAACGCUGGAGAUCUAGCUUGCUAGAUCGAAGGAGUGGCGAACGGGUGAGUAAUACAUAAGCAACCUACCCACGAAGACUGGGAUAAUCUCUGGAAACGGGGACUAAUACCGGAUAGGUAAUCGGAAGGCUUCUUCUGGUUAUUAAAGGUUAAAACCACUGGUGGAUGGGCUUAUGGCGCAUUAGUUAGUUGGUGAGGUAACGGCCCACCAAGACGAUGAUGCGUAGCCGGCCUGAGAGGGUGAACGGCCACAUUGGGACUGAGACACGGCCCAGACUCCUACGGGAGGCAGCAGUAGGGAAGUUUCGGCAAUGGGGGCAACCCUGACCGAGCAACGCCGCGUGAGUGAAGACGGCCUUCGGGUUGUAAAGCUCUGUUGUAAGGGAAGAACGGUAGAUAGAGAAUAUCUAAGUGACGGUACCUGACCAGAAAGCCACGGCUAACUACGUG